rnacentral:rRNA from 1 species
UACGGGGGGGGCAAGCGUUGUUCGGAUUUACUGGGCGUAAAGGGCGCGUAGGCGGUCGUGACAAGUCACUUGUGAAAUCUCCGGGCUUAACUCGGAACGGUCAAGUGAUACUGUCGUGCUAGAGUACAGGAAGGGACACUGGAAUUCUCGGUGUAGCGGUGAAAUGCGUAGAUAUCGAGAGGAACACCUGCGGCGAAGGCGGGUUGCUGGGCUGAUACUGACGCUGAGGCGCGAAAGCUAGGGGAGCGAACGGG